rnacentral:misc_RNA from 1 species
UUGAGAGAUCAAACGUUUCGUAUCUCUUAUCGGGGAAUUAGCUCAGCUGGGAGAGCGCCUGCUUUGCACGCAGGAGGUCAGCGGUUCGAUCCCGCUAUUCUCCACCAGUAUGACGGGUUUGUAGCUCAGCUGGUUAGAGCACACCCCUGAUAAGGGUGAGGUCGAUGGUUCGAGUCCAUUCAAACCCACCAGUUUUGCGCCAUACGCACAAAGCUUUCAGCUCACGUACUUUAGUACGCUACGCUAAAACCUUUGCACGCCUGACACAGAAACUUGAUAAAAGAAGUCUAAAAAGAGUAUUUACUUUAAAUAUUCUUUUUAGGUUUUACGCCUAAUUGUUUUUUAAAAACCUAUUGUUAAUUCCUAAGAAAUUUUAUAUGCGAUUGUUUGCAUAUAAAGUGUUUAAACCUUAGAUACUCAAAUUACUUUACUUUAAUUUAUAGUUUAAGCGACUAGUCGCGUGAGCUGUCCGCUGAGGACCUAAUUUUUAGCUUUGCUGAAAAUUUGAGAAUUAAAUUUAAAUGUAACUCAUCAAUUUAGUUAUUAAUUAUCUUAAUUAAGGCGAUGAUUAAAAGUCUCUUUUGGACGCAAAAGACAAAAGAGAUAUUAGUAAGUUACUAAGAGCAGACGGUGGAUGCCUUGGGUGGAAGAGGCGAUGAAGGACGUA